rnacentral:rRNA from 1 species
UACGAAGGGGGCUAGCGUUGCUCGGAAUCACUGGGCGUAAAGCGCACGUAGGCGGCUUGCUAAGUCAGGGGUGAAAUCCUGGAGCUCAACUCCAGAACUGCCUUUGAUACUGGCGACCUUGAGUCCGGGAGAGGUGAGUGGAACUGCGAGUGUAGAGGUGAAAUUCGUGGAUAUUCGCAAGAACACCAGUGGCGAAGGCGGCUCACUGGCCCGGUACUGACGCUGAGGUGCGAAAGCGUGGGGAGCAAACGGG